rnacentral:lncRNA from 1 species
CUCCUGACAUCAAUCUCAUCCAGAAGAAGAGUCUAUUUCUCCACCCCCUGAACCUAAGCUUGGUCCAUACUGGUCAUCCUGGUCAUCCUGGACAUUGCCAUUCCAGUUGGGCAGAAUACAGAAAGAAUGUAGGAGCAAACAUGGAAGGCUGUGGCCAGCUCAAAGUGAUCUACGUCAUACCCACUCAUAUUCCACUGGCUAGAAUUCACUCACAUGGACACACAUAUCUGUGAGUGAGGCUGAGAAAUGAAGAGAAUGACUCUUGGUGGACAGUAGCAGUCGCUGCCAUGCUUGUGUGGCAUAUAGGGUUUAGAAAUUACAUUAUAAUUGCUAAUUUAGAAAUUAGAGUUAGGGCUCCCAGCUGGAGCCAGGGAUUCAAGGUUGAUGGAGUUCACGAGGCAGAAAAGAUAGAAAACUAGGCAGAUUCAUCAUGGGCAGAGGAAUCACAGUAUUUCACACUUUGCCUUUUCCCAGGUGGAAGUGGGGCCAGGUAGGAGUGGUGAGACUCUGCUCCAUACAUGGGUGGCUUGAGAAAGAGGUUAGGGAGCAGCCACAGAGAAUCUGCUGAUCGGUUUGUAGAAAAGGCCACUGAGGUCAAAGCUGACUGUCAUCAGGGUUUCCAUUCCAGCUAGGAUCCUGUCUCUAAACAGAGGCAGGAAAGCCCUCUGAGGGCUUAUGAGCAGGUAGAGACAAACUUCAUUCCUCUUUCCCCAUUUACUCAAGUUCAAGAUGACUGGAAAGAUAAAACAGCCCUUAAAAGCAUCAUAUCCAGGAUUUCACCCAGUGGAGAGGACAUUUUUUAAUAUUGAGUGCCACUAUCCACAGAAAAAUAAUCGGUUGACAUAAGCAAUGUAAGAAAAAAACUUACUCAUAAUUUGGGGUGUUUCAAGAAAUAUAAUUACAUAAUGCACUAUUUAUUUGAUUUUUAGAUUAAGAGCAAAAAAUACAAAUGGUUUAUAAUAAAUAUAAUUAGUAAAAUAUGUAUGGCAGUUUGAUUUUAAUGUAAAUAAAGAGACAGAGCAAGUGUUUAGAAAGACAGAAAAUCAAGAGACAGAGACAAAAACAGGGACAAGGAGGAAGAGAGGGAGAGAAACAGAAUAAGAGACACUUAGAAAUAUACUCAAGAAAGAUUUAGAGCAGCCACGGACACACAAAAACCUCAUGUGCACGUACCAACUUUCAAGAAUGGAGUAACAUAGUCAUUUUGUGACCUUAUAAGAUUUUGCCACCAAAGACACUUAAAGUUCCACUGCAUUCUCCCAACUAUAGGCAUAAACAAAAUUGUCUCUUCAUAUUUGCCAAAUAAAAUUGAGGGAAUUAAAUCAUGGAGGAAAAAAUCCAACACUCGUGUUCUAUACUCUUUCUCCAGGUAGCAACCGUAAUUACCACAAAGCGAAGGAUUCAUGUAGGAAGCACCAAGCAUCC